GAUGAACGCUGGCGGCGUGCCUAAUACAUGCAAGUCGAGCGAACAGACGAGGAGCUUGCUCCUCUGACGUUAGCGGCGGACGGGUGAGUAACACGUGGAUAACCUACCUAUAAGACUGGGAUAACUUCGGGAAACCGGAGCUAAUACCGGAUAAUAUAUUGAACCGCAUGGUUCAAUAGUGAAAGACGGUUUUGCUGGCACGUAUAGAUGGAUCCGCGCCGCAUUAGCUAGUUGGUAAGGUAACGGCUUACCAAGGCAACGAUGCGUAGCCGACCUGAGAGGCUGAUCGGCCACACUGGAACUGAGCCACGGUCCAGACUCCUACGGGAGGCAGCAGUAGGGAAUCUUCCGCAAUGGGCGAAAGCCUGACGGAGUAACGCCGAGUGAGUGAUGAAGGUCUUCGGAUCGUAAAACUCUGUUAUUAGGGAAGAACAAAUGUGUAAGUAACUAUGCACGUCUUGACGGUACCUAAUCAGAAAGCAACGGCUAACUACGUG
rnacentral:rRNA from 1 species